rnacentral:miRNA from 2 species
CCAGUGACCAAACAUAUUC